rnacentral:rRNA from 1 species
AAAUGAAUAGACGGGGGCCCGCACAAGCGGUGGAGCAUGUGGUUUAAUUCGAUGCAACGCGAAGAACCUUACCGAGACUUGACAUCCCGUGACCAUCUACGAAAGUAGAGUCUAGCUUCGGCUACACGGAGACAGGUGGUGCAUGGUUGUCGUCAGCUCGUGUCGUGAGAUGUUGGGUUAAGUCCCGCAACGAGCGCAACCCUCAUCCUUAGUUGCCAGCGGGUGAUGCCGGGGACUCUAAGGAGACAGCCGGUGAAAGCCGGAGGAAGGUGGGGAUGACGUCAAAUCAUCAUGCCCUUUAUGUUUCGGGCUACACACGUGCUACAAUGGUCAGUACAGAGGGGGGCGAAGGCGCGAACCGGAGCAAAUCCCUGAAAGCUGAUCUCAGUUCGGAUUGCAGGCUGCAACCCGCCUGCAUGAAGUCGGAAUCGCUAGUAAUCGCAGGUCAGCAUACUGCGGUGAAUACGUUCCCGGGCCUUGUACACACCGCCCGU